GCAUGUUGCAGCUCUUUUUGUAUUUGUCUAGCAGGAUUUCUGCUGAAGCAGAGAACCUAU
rnacentral:snRNA from 1 species